UAAAUCCCACGGUGCCUUCUCCU
rnacentral:miRNA from 1 species